rnacentral:rRNA from 1 species
GACGAACGCUGGCGGCGUGCUUAACACAUGCAAGUCGAACGGAAAGUCCCUGCCUUUGUGCGCUCCUCGAGUGGCGAACGGGUGAGUAACACGUGAGUAACCUGUCCUUGACUUUGGGAUAACUUCAGGAAACUGGGGCUCAUACCGGCUAGGAGCUCUUGCUGCAUGGUGGGGGUUGGAAAGUUUCGGCGGUUGGGGAUGGACUAGCGGCUUAUCAGCUUGUUGGUGGGGUAGUGGCUUACCAAGGCUUUGACGGGUAGCCGGCCGGUGCGGGUGACCGGCGACAUGGGGACUGAGAUACGGCACAGACUCCUACGGGAGGCAGCAGGGGGGAGUAGUGAACAAUGGGCAGAAGCCUGAUGCAGCAACGCCGCGUGCGGGAUGACGGCCGUCGGGUUGAAAGCCGCAUUCGCCUGUGACGAAGCGUGAGUGACGGUAAUGGGUAAGGAAGCACCGGCUAUCAACGUG